CCGCCUCCUGGAUUCAAGCAAUUCUCCUGCCUCAGCUUCCCAAAUAGAUUCCAGACAUUGUAUGGAAAAGCAUCGUGAAAAUCCCUGGCCUGUUCUGCUCUGUUCUGAUUACCGGUGCGUGCAGCCCGCAGUCACGUACCCGCUGGUUGCUCAAUCGAUCACGACCCUCUCACACGGACCCCCUUAGAGCUGUAAGCCCUUAAAAGGGACAGGAAUUGCUCGCUCGGGGAGCUCGGUUUUUGGAGACGUGAGUCCGCCGGUGCUCCCAGCUGAAUAAAGCCCUUUCCUUCCACAA